GAUGAAGAACGUAGCGAAAUGCGAUAAGUAAUGUGAAUUGCAGAAUUCAGUGAAUCAUCGAAUCUUUGAACGCACAUUGCGCCCGCCAGUAUUCUGGCGGGCAGGCCUGUUCGAGCGUCAUUUCAACCAUCAAGCCCCAGGCUUGUGUUGGGGACCUGCGGCUGCCGCAGGCCCUGAAAACCAGUGGCGGGCUCGCUGUCACACCGGGCGUAGUAGAUUUUAUCUCGCUCAGGGCGUGCUGCGGGUUCCGGCCGUUAAAAAGCCUUUUUUACCCAAGGUUGACCUCGGAUCAGGUAGGAAGACCCGCUGAACUUAAGCAUAUCAAUAAGCGGAGGA
rnacentral:misc_RNA from 1 species